CACGGCUCACAGCAACCUCUAACUCUUGGACUUACGCGAUUCUCUUGCCUCAGCCUCCCGAGCAGCUGGGACUACAGGCGCCCGCCACAACGCCCGGCUAUUUUUUUUUUGGUUGCAGUUUGGCCGGGGCUGGGUUUGAACCCGCCACCCUCGGUAUAUGGGGCCGGCGCCCUGCUCACUGAGCCACAGGCGCCGCCCCCAAGUCUCUUUUUUUAUCUAGAAACCUUGGAGUUAUCCUCAGCGAAGCCCUCGCUUCCACCAUAUUCCAUCCGUCACCAAGGGCUGUCGACGCUAUCUCCUCAGUCUUCCUCAAGUCCAUGACCUCUGAUCCAUUCUCAUGGGCAGUCACUGACCUUGGUAAAUAGAUGCCUGAACAGACGAGUCAUUUAUGGAUCUGUCACCUUCAGCUCCUACAAUGAGAAGGAAAUCGAGGCUCACGAAGAGUCAGUGACUUGUCUAAAGCCAUCCUUCCAGCUCUGGGACUCUCCUUUCCUAUUUAUCCCUUCCACUAAACUACAGCAUCUAUAUCAGAGAAAGGAGAAGGCGGUGUUCCAUCAGAAGAAAUGACAGCGCCUGAGAAAUUCUGAUGGUGCAAAUUCUGUUGAAGGGCCCCACGUGUAUGUGUCUGGUAGCGCAGGCCAGCGAACAGAAGCCUGGAAGUGAAAAUUCUCUGCACACGAAGAAGAGGAAAAUUACUCAGAGUCCAGGAGACAGAGUCUUCUCUGGGAACAUACACCUGCUGAUUUCAGUGAUGUUUGCUGUACACAAGAUUGCUUGGGGGCUGUUCUACCGAAGGGGAGAAUUCUAUUUCAUCAUGGAUUCCAAGUUAGGAAGUGACUUUUUUUAUGAAGGCAGCAUGUUGUGCUUUUCCCAAUGCACAGUAGAGAAAACAUCAUGGGACCAUCCCUGGAGCCAACAUGGUAGACAUCAGGGAGGACCCAAGUGCAGAUCACUUAAAGUCUGGAAGAUCAAGUGCAGCAGAAGUGCCCAGCCAUCCUAUGAUGAAAGCAGUGAGCCAUGAGGGAUGCACAUACUUAACAUAAAGGUCACUGAGAAAGAAUUGGUGUGGAGGCAAAAACUCAAGAUCUUCCAUAUCGGUAAACAAGACCUAACAGGAAAAGUUGGCGUAAAAGCAGCCCUGCACACUAGUGGGAGAAUCCCGCCGAAGGGACUCAGAAUCUGUCCUUAACCACAGAGAUUAAGAGUUAUUCCUUGGAGUUACUGCUUGUUCUAUUAUCUGGUAUCAUAAUCCACUGUUCGGUUUAUUGUACAUAAUUAGAUCCAAUAAAUGUGUA